GGGCUGUUGGCUCAGUGGUUAGAGCACUCGGUUCACAUCCGAGGGGUCCCCAGUUCGAAUCUGGGACAGCCCA
rnacentral:tRNA from 1 species